CAGCCCAAGCGCAGCGUAAGAAGCACGCCCGAGGGAAAAAAGGGCGACGCCGAGGCACUGCGUACCGUUUCACCGUGUUUGUGCCUAAGUAGCAGCAGCGGCAGCACCCAUGGUGGACUCUAGGCCCUCAGUCGCCACCCCAUCUGGGCAGCAGUCUCUCUUCUCUGUUCUCGGAGGCGCCGUUACACGGGCGGCGCUGCAGCAGAUGCAGCGUGACGUUGACGUCCUUUGCGAAGUGUCGGCUUCAGCGCAUGCCUCCCUGUCGCCUGGCCCCCGUCCUGAACCAGUGGCAGCGCCGUCACUGCAGCCCGGUGCUUCGGGUGGCCAUCCGCUGCAGCGUGUGCUCGAUGCCCUUCGCUCUGCCGAGGUGGGCGCCUUGCCAGAAGGCGGCAACGACGAGAGACGUGCUCAGCCUUCCUCCACCUCCAUUUCUGUCCGUGACGCUCUCAUCGACGCUCUCGGUCUCUUUGCCGGGUCCUCGCUCUACCGCGAGUGGGUGCAGGCCCCUCGCCGACGCAUUCGGCGUGUCGUUCGUCAGCUGGCUAUCACGGUGAGAGAGCGCUACCUGUCUCUGCUCGCAGAGCGCCAUUCCCUCGCCAGGGAGGAGCCGCUCGAUGUGCACGUGCAGCUCUACCCAUCCCACACUGUGCAGCGGACGGCUGUCCCGGCAGCUCUGAAGGAGACACAGGGAUUCUGCGCUGCUGUCACGGUGCGGCGCCUAUCGGCGCUCGAGGAGAAGGUGACCGCGGCACGGCGGCUGCGUCAGCGCUACAUGCAGGCUGCAGCGCCAGGGCAGACGCUGUCGAGUGUCCUCAGCUUUUGGGCCGACGUGUCUUAUGGCGAUGCGCCGCCUGCAGCUCUGAUCGACUACCCGCCUCUGGGGUUCGAGGAGGACAGCAGCAGGCUCACCGUCGAGGCGCUACAAGCAAGCAGAGAUGCCGCCGCCGCUGAAGGCCGCCGGCAGCUUGGGCGCAAGACUCAGCGCGCUAGCGAGGAUGCAGAUGGGCCAGCGCAUCCGGCGCUCUUGUUAGGCGUCGAGGAGGAGUCAUCAACGGUGACCGUUACCCGUGAAGGGCUCGAGGGGGAAGAGGGGCCUGCAUGGUUGCAGCCUCCGCUGCUCCUCCAAAUGGAUGAUGGGCUUAAGGACAGGCAGUUUGCAGCGGCCACCACCGCCGGCCGCAUGGCGCCUGUCCCCCACCUCCGCUACGAGGGUGCUGGCCUGUUGGCAGUGGUGUACGUGCAUAGCUCGGGAAUCGCUUAUGUCGGCUACCCGCACGCCUCCGACACGGCGUCGAGCGCCGAGCCCACGGACGGACUUGUGCGUCGGCCUGACGACGAGCCGCCGGUCGAUCCUUUGGCGGUGGCACCACCGACGCCACCAUCAUGGCAGCAACUGCCGCCGGCGCCCAUCUGCUCGUUGCCCAUGAGCUCUUCUACUGGCUUCGUGCGCGGCCUUCUAGGCUUGAGCUGAAGGCGCGUGCCAAAAUUAUGUCGCGCGGAACGCGCCCAACAUAUC
rnacentral:misc_RNA from 1 species